UCCCUACGGGACGCAGCAGUGGGGAAUAUUGCACAAUGGGGGAAACCCUGAUGCAGCGACGCCGCGUGAGUGAAGAAGUAUUUCGGUAUGUAAAGCUCUAUCAGCAGGAACGAGACAAGACGGUACCUGACUAAGAAGCCCCGGCUAACUACGUGCCAGCAGCCGCGGUAAUACGUAGGGGGCAAGCGUUAUCCGGAUUUACUGGGUGUAAAGGGAGCGCAGACGGCUGUGCAAGUCUGGAGUGAAAUCCCAUGGCUUAACCAUGGAACUGCUUUGGAAACUGUGCAGCUGGAGUGCAGGAGAAG
rnacentral:rRNA from 1 species